UACGUAGGCAGCAAGCGUUGUUCGGAGUUACUGGGCGUAAAGGGUGCGUAGGCGGCUUCUUAAGUCUGGUGUGAAAUCUCCCGGCUCAACUGGGAGGGUGCGCCGGAUACUGAGGGGCUAGAGUGUGGGAGAGGAAAGUGGAAUUCCUGGUGUAGCGGUGAAAUGCGUAGAUAUCAGGAGGAACACCGGUGGUGUAAACGGCUUUCUGGACCAUAACUGACGCUGCGGCCCGAAAGCGUGGGUAGCAAACAGG
rnacentral:rRNA from 1 species